rnacentral:rRNA from 1 species
CAUCGAACUAUCUAGUAGCUGGUUCCACCUGAAUAUUCCCUUAGGAAGGUCAAAGUAUUAAUAGUAUUGAUUGGUAAAGAUAAUGAUUAGGUGUAAUGGGUGAGUAUUUUCACUCAACAUCUUGUCAAACUAUGAAUAAACAAAGAAGAAUUCUCAGUGUUAAAUACACUUCAGGAAUUUAAAUAUAAACAUACUUUGAAUCGGCCAAGUCUGGUAAGCAGGACUGGCGAUGCGGGAUGAACCGAACGUCGAGAUAAAGUGCCAAAAAGAAACAUAACGAGUACCACAAAAGGUAUUCAUUCAUAUUGACAAUAGGACGGUGGCCAUGGAAGUCGGAAACCGCUAAGGAAUGUGUAACAACUCACCUAUCGAAUGAAUGAGUCCUGAAAAUGGAUGGCAUUAUAAUUUCUUAACUGAUACUCGACCGUUAAAAUGAAGACAUUUUAACGAGUAAGGAAACGAAAUGGCGUAAGGACAACAAAAGUAGUAAAGAUUUAAAGUAAUUUAGAUUGAAACUGUCCUUAGUGCAGAUCUUGGUGGUAGUAGCAAAUACUAAGAAGAGGAAAAAAACAUCUUAGAACUGAAGAGGAGAAAGGUUCCUAAACAACAUUACUUGGAUUAGGGUGAAUCGAUCCUAAAUUACAGAUGGAAAUCCUUAAGAAAUAUAUAAGUGACAUAUAGUCAAUAUAAGGAUUGAAAGGGAAUAAGAUUAAUAGUUCUUAAUCAAGAGAAUUAAUGAUUAAAUCUUAGAAAUAAGAUUAAAUCGAAUAAAAUGGUAACAUAUCAUGAACUUUAAAAUGGAGUGUGAAAAUCUACGGAAGAGUUCUCUUUUCUUCUUAACAAAAGUAAACUCCACUGAAAUGAAUCAAUCAGAGAAGUGGAAUUUAUUGGCUUUGUAAGAAAUUCAACAUAUGAUUGAAUUGUGGUAUUUUUGCAGUCUUCAUAAAAAUUAAAGGGAAUCUUAGCAUAAAGCUAAUUAAAGAAUUCUUUUGCUCGUACUAAUAACCGCAACAGGUCUCCAAGAAGCAAAAUCUUUAGUUAAAUAGAAUAACGCAGGUAAGGGAAGUCGCAACAUAGCUCUGUAAGUUAGCAAGAAAGAGUAGCUCUGGUGAUUUCCUUGUAAAAGGAUUAAAAUCGAAUCAGAACUUUAAAGGUUAGGGGAAUCCGACUGUUUAAUAAAAACAUAGCAUUCUGAUAAAUCUAAAAGGUUCAUUACAGAAUGUGAUUUCUGCCCAGUGCUCUGAAUGUCAAGGUAAUGAAAUUUACUUAAGCGCGGGUUAACGGCGGGAGUAACUAUGACUCUCUUAAGGUAGCCAAAUGCCUCGUCAUCUAAUUAGUGACGCGCAUGAAUGGAUCACCGUGAUUCCCACUGUCCCUAUCUGCAAUCUAGUGAAACCACAGUCAAGGGAACGGGCUUGAUUGGAACGGCGGGGAAAGAAGACCCUGUUGAGCUUGACUCUAAUUUAUCAUGUGAAAUCGAUUUUUUGGUAUAGGCUAGGUGGGAGACUUUGUCAAACGUGUAAUACCACCACUAGAAAUACUAUUUCACUCAUUUCGUUAAAUGUUAAAAUGGAUUUUCCAUUAAUUUAAAAACAUUAAAACUUCGGUUGAAACAGGCGAUUGAAAAAGAUAGACGGGGAGUUUGGCUGGGGCGGCACAUCUGUUACAAGAUAACGCAGGUGUCCAAAGAUGAACUCAAUGAGGACAGAAACCUCAUGUAGAAUAUAAGGGUAUAAGUUCAUUUGAUUAUUGAUUCCAGUACAAUCAAUAACUCUGAAAUGAUGGCCUAACGAUCCCUAAGAUUUUUAACUAGAAAAAAUUUAAAACAUAUUAGAUUUA